UGCAUGAUUUCAUUGUCUAUGAAGCACGGAUUCCGACACGGACACCGCUAGUUAAAAAAUAUAGGAUACCGACACCGUUACAUAUUUAUAAAACAUAUAAAUUGAUAAUCAAAAUAUAUACAUAUAAAUCUAAUUUGAGCAAGUUAUUUCUUAAAAAAAAAAUUUAAUCAAAAUAUGAUAGCAUUUUACCUUUAUUUAUCAAUACUAUUGAAAAAACCAAAAAUAUUGUAAUCAAAAUGUAAUGUCUUCAAUCCCUCAUUGAUCAAUAUUAUUGUUUCGACACAUCUUCAACUCUUGUAGAUAUGUCUAAUAUGUUCUAAGGAGAGCAUAAGCAAAAUAAAAAUAAAAAUGGGCACUUGUCCGACACGGGUCGUACGAGUGUCUUAUAGGUAGGUGUUGGACACCAAUCAAAUGAGUGUCAAAAUAAAGAAAAAAUUGAGUUUUUUCCGACACCGCUAUGAGCUAUCCGACACGUGUCGAUGUCGUACGAGUGUCAUAUGAGUGUUGAACACCGACACGUGUCGAACACCGCAACACGCUUAAUCAUAGAGAUUUCCGUGCUUCAUAGUUCAUUGCACACUUUGAUGAAAAUCACACAUUUGUUCAUAUUUUGUAUUAAGCCAAACAAGC
rnacentral:lncRNA from 1 species